rnacentral:siRNA from 1 species
UGAUGCCCUUAGAUGUUCUGG